GUUUACGACCAUAGCAGCCUGAACGCACCUGAUCUUGUCUGAUCUGGGAAGCUAAGCAGGGUUGGGCCUGCAGAAAAUGAAGAGGAAUUAAAAAGC
rnacentral:rRNA from 1 species